ACUAGACCCAGCCAGACCUCUGUGUUUGUGCAUUCAGCACCCAGCUUGAGAGUUAUGGCUUUUUAAAGAUUUUGUCAGCUGGCAUUGUACAGAUCAGGUUCUUUUUGAGUUUUGUUUUUAUUUGAGUGCUUGUUUGUUGUUUUCUGUUUGCUGCAACAAACACAUUUCUUGAUACAGUGUCAUGUCUGACGUUGAGCGCUGUGCAUACAUUAGUCAUAUUUAAACGGAACUGUUGGAGACAGGUUGAAAACUUUAAAGUGCUUUGUAAGCACACAACAGCAGCAACAGACUGUGAACUGCACUGGGGAUUUGAACACAAACGCAUUGUGGAAAAGCUGCUGAACAAACAGCAAGAUCAGCAGCAUCAACACAGCCUUUUGUUCACAAUGUGCCCGUCACUUUGCAGAGGGAUAGCUGGAGUUCAGCAGCAGUGUUUCCCACACUGGCUCUAGACCGUUCUGAUGAGAAUUGCAUCUCUUUGGAUGCAAGCUUGAUGGAUUGAACCCUGGUUGUGACAUUGAGGGCCUCUGACUCUUCAGGCUUUGGGCAAGACUAAACACUCGGGAUGUCGUAAGCUGUCUGGAUCAAUGGACUAUCCCAUGCAGCUGUGAAGAAUCAGCACAGUAUUGUUUGUAUUCACUUCAGACACUGCAUACUAAAAGCCUAACACCAACAUUAGCAUGUGUUUCUUCCCCCAUCUGUCAAUUGAUUGUGUGGCUCAAUCAUUGGUUUUGCUAGUUUCUUUUUAAUUAUUUUUUUUUAUUUGGUGUGGUCUUGUCACACUUUCUCAAAUGAUUUUAUCAUAUGGUUGCCAGUUUCUUUUCUCUUUUUUUAAUUGUAUUAUUUAAAAAAAAAUAUUACUUGGUAUGUGGACAGGAAACAAAACCAAUGUGUUCCAUGGUAACAAAGUGUCCUAUACAUAAACAUUUAAAGAUUGUUUUAAUGAAUGUUCUUUUUUAAAUGUUUAUAAAUAUUAUCUGAGAAUAGGUUUUGUGACCAGCAAACAUAUAUAUAUAUAUAUAUAUAACAGAACAAAACAUUCCUUAAAAUAGUACUACAAAGGUUAUGAAUUAGACCUGAUGAAGUUCCAAGAGAAAAAAUGAGAAGGAAGGUCUGACAAAAAGCUGAUGAACUGCCCCAGUCAAUCAGUCCCUGACACCCAUAAAUAUAACAGGAGUCUUUGCAGAGAUCAUUACUGCUGCUUGUUGGGACUCUAAAAUGCACUACAGUAAUUUAAAUAGCCGGCAAUGCCCACUUUACUGUAUAUUAAUGCUAAAAUUUAAAAAACCCAAAUCCAGAACAUGUCCAUUUCAUUGCCAGCCAUGCGGACCACUGCCCGUUUGAGGAAUUAGUUCAUAAACAGGCACUGUAAUAAUACAAGCCUUUGCAAACGGUACAGCUGGGAUUUUAUAACCACAGAGCAUCUCAGCAGACUCGAAACCUUCACAUAUGAUAAACCAAUUCUUCAACCUGUUAAUGUCUUAAGCAACUAAUCAAAAAUAUGCUGGGUAACCACUCAAGAAUAAAACCCCUGGCAAUGAAAGCUUUGUAAUGUUCACAAUAACUGACAGGAGAGACAGAGCGGCUUUGAUGUAUUUUAUCCAGGAGCCCUGGAGGUCCCGGUCAUUCUGUCUUUCCGUCUGUCUCAGGAUAAUGUUUGUGUUUCAAUAUUGGGUCAUUUAAAUGUGCCCUUGACAAAUAUAUUUAAUUCUACAUUAAUGUUACAAAAUGAAAAACAAACCGCUUGUCUUGAGAGACAUUGCAUCAAAGUAUUAUUGUUUUCUUCUAGUUUUGAAGAGGUAUUUUGUUCUUUUGAAUAUAACACUGUGUCAUUGUUUUUUGAUUGGUCCAAUAAAA